rnacentral:misc_RNA from 1 species
AUGGGGGAGCCGCAUCCGCACCUCGUCCUCGACGACCUCCUCGCGGGGUUUGAGGCGCCCUGCGUCGCAGACAUCAAGAUCGGCGCCAUCACGUGGCCACCGAGUUCGCCGGAGCCCUACAUCGCCAAGUACCUCGCCAAGGACCGCGGGACCACGAGCGUUCUGCUCGGAUUCCGCGUCUUGCGUCCGAGUCGUCGGCCCCGAGGGCGCCGUGUGGCGGACGGAGCGCCCGGAGGUGAAGGCUAUGGACACCGUCGGCGUCCGCCGCGUGCUCCGGCGCUACGUGUCAUCCGCUUGCCGACGAGGGGAUGGACUGCGCGCUCGCGGCGGCGGUGUACGGAGGAAAAGGUGGAGUCUUGUCACAGCUGCGCGAGCUCAAGGCAUGGUUGGAGGAGCAGACUCUGUUCCACUUCUACUCGGCGUCGAUUCUUCUGGGCUAUGAUGCUGCUGCA